rnacentral:rRNA from 1 species
AUACGGAGGAUCCGAGCGUUAUCCGGAUUUAUUGGGUUUAAAGGGAGCGUAGGUGGAUUGUUAAGUCAGUUGCGAAAGUUUGCGGCUCAACCGUAAAAUUGCAGUUGAAACUGGCAGUCUUGAGUACAGUAGAGGUGGGCGGAAUUCGUGGUGUAGCGGUGAAAUGCUUAGAUAUCACGAAGAACUCCGAUAGCGAAGGCAGCUCACUAGACUGUUACGGACACUGAUGCUCGAAAGGGUGGGUAUCAAACAGGAUUAGAUUCCCUGGUAGUCCACACAGUAAACGAUGAAUACUCGCUGUUUGCGAUAUACAGUAAGCGGCCAAGCGAAAGCAUUAAGUAUUCCACCUGGGGAGUACGCCGGCAACGGUGAAACUCAAAUGAAUUGACGGGG